rnacentral:rRNA from 1 species
UACGGAGGGUGCAAGCGUUAAUCGGAAUUACUGGGAGUAAAGCGUGCGCAGGCGGUUUGUUAAGUCUGCUGUGAAAUCCCCGAGCUCAACUUGGGAAUUGCAGUGGAUACUGGCAAGCUAGAGUAUGGUAGAGGAAGGUGGAAUUCCCGGUGUAGCAGUGAAAUGCGUAGAGAUCGGGAGGAACACCAGUGGCGAAGGCGGCCUUCUGGACCAAUACUGACGCUCAUGCACGAAAGCGUGGGGAGCAAACAGG